rnacentral:rRNA from 1 species
UACGGAGGGAGCAAGCGUUACUCGGAAUUAUUGGGCGUAAAGGGCGCGUAGGCGAUUUGACAAGUCUUGUGUGAAAGCCCCGAGCUUAACUCGGGAAGUGCACAAGAAACUGUUGAAUUUGAGUUCCGGAGAGGAAGGCAGAAUUCCCGGUGUAGCGGUGAAAUGCGUAGAUAUCGGGAGGAAUACCAGUGGCGAAGGCGGCCUUCUGGACGGAUACUGACGCUGAGGCGCGAAAGCCAGGGGAGCAAACGGG